rnacentral:rRNA from 1 species
GACGUAGGGCGCGAGCGUUGUCCGGAUUUAUUGGGCGUAAAGGGCUCGUAGGCGGUUUGUCGCGUCGGUGGUGAAAACACUGGGCUUAACCCAGUGCUUGCCUUCGAUAGGGCAGACUAGAGGUAUGCAGGGGAGAACGGAAUUCCUGGUGUAGCGGUGAAAUGCGCAGAUAUCAGGAGGAACACCGGUGGCGAAGGCGGUUCUCUGGGCCUGACCUGACGCUGAGGAGCAGA